CCCUUAGAUGUUCUGGGCUGCACGCGCGCUACACUGAUGCAUUCACCGAGUUCUGCCCUUGCCCGGCAGGGUUGGGUAACCUGUUAAAAACGCACCGUGAUGGGGAUAGACGAUUGCAAUUAUUGAUCAUGAACGAGGAAUUCCUAGUAAGCGCGAGUCAUCAGCUCGCGUUGAUUACGUCCCUGCCCUUUGUACACACCGCCCGUCGCUACUACCGAUUGAAUGGUUUAGUGAGAUCUCCGGAUUGGCACCAUCGAGGCUUCACGGCCUUGACGGAAAGUCGAAAAGUUGCUCAAACUUGAUCAUUUAGAGGAAGUAAAAGUCGUANCA
rnacentral:rRNA from 1 species